rnacentral:rRNA from 1 species
AUGAACGCUAGCGACAGGCCUAACACAUGCAAGUCAGGGGCAGCACAAGGAGCAAUCUGAGGUGGCGACCGGCGCACGGGUGAGUAACACGUAUGCAACCUGCCUGUAAGCGGGGAAUAACCCGUUGAAAGACGGACUAAUACCGCAUAAUACUAAAUUACUGCAUGGUAAUUUAUUUAAACAUUUAUGGCUUACAGAUGGGCAUGCGCAUGAUUAGCUAGUUGGAGAGGUAACGGCUCCCCAAGGCAACGAUCAUUAGGGGUUCUGAGAGGAAGGUCCCCCACACUGGUACUGAGACACGGACCAGACUCCUACGGGAGGCAGCAGUGAGGAAUAUUGGUCAAUGGACGAGAGUCUGAACCAGCCAAGUCGCGUGCAGGAAGAAUGUUCCCUAUGGAUUGUAAACUGCUUUUGCAGGGGAAUAAAGUGCAUCACGUGUGAUGUUUUGUAUGUACUCUGCGAAUAAGGAUCGGCUAACUCCGUGCCAGCCGCGGC